GAUGAAGAACGCAGCGAAAUGUGAUAACUAAUGUGAAUUGCAGAAUUCAGUGAAUCAUCGAGUCUUUGAACGCACAUUGCGCCCCCUGGUAUUCCGGGGGGCAUGCCUGUCCGAGCGUCAUUGCUGCCCUCAAGCACGGCUUGUGUGUUGGGCUCCGUCCCCCCGGGGACGGGCCCGAAAGGCAGCGGCGGCACCGAGUCCGGUCCUCGAGCGUAUGGGGCUUUGUCACCCGCUCUGUAGGCCCGGCCGGCGCCAGCCGACAACCCAUCAUCCUUUUCAGGUUGACCUCGGAUCAGGUAGGGAUACCCGCUGAACUUAAGCAUAUCAAUAAGCGGAGGA
rnacentral:misc_RNA from 1 species